AUGAAACUUCGUCUUGAGCUGAGCAAGAAGAGUAAAGUACCCGUAGUUGAUGCAAUAGAGAAUGUUGAAAUGGCCGUUGCGGCGUGUCAAGGUGUGUGGCUAGCGAGGCUACAUGGUGAUCUCAUGGAUCGAGAUCCGGGACAAGUGGUGCUCAACGUUGAUAGCAAGUCUGAAAGUUUUCUACGCGAAGAUCCAGUGUGGCAUGAUAGGAGCAAGCACAUUGAUACGAUGUAUCACUAUAUAAAGGACUGCGUGGAAGAAGGCAAGACAGAGGUCAACAACAUUCGCACCGAUGAUCAGAUGGCAGACAUGCUAACCAAGGCUUUGGAUCGAGAGAAGUUCUUGGAGAUACGAAAAAGAAUCGGCGUCGGAGCUGUGACGUGA
rnacentral:rRNA from 1 species